AUUGAACGCUGGCGGCAUGCCUUACACGUGCAAGUCGAACGGUACCAGGUCUUCGGAUGCUGACGAGUGGCGAACGGGUGAGUAAUACAUCGGAACGUGCCCGAGAGUGGGGGAUAACGAGGCGAAAGCUUUGCUAAUACCGCAUACGAUCUCAGGAUGAAAGCAGGGGACCGCAAGGCCUUGCGCUCACGGAGCGGCCGAUGGCAGAUUAGGUAGUUGGUGGGAUAAAAGCUUACCAAGCCGACGAUCUGUAGCUGGUCUGAGAGGACGACCAGCCACACUGGGACUGAGACACGGCCCAGACUCCUACGGGAGGCAGCAGUGGGGAAUUUUGGACAAUGGGCGCAAGCCCGAUCCAGCCAUGCCGCGUGCAGGAUGAAGGCCUUCGGGUUGUAAACUGCUUUUGUACGGAACGAAAAGACUCUGGUUAAUACCUGGGGUCCAUGACGGUACCGUAAGAAUAAGCACCGGCUAACUACGUGCCAGCAGCCGCGGUAAGAC
rnacentral:rRNA from 1 species